AACGAACGCUGGCGGCAUGCCUAACACAUGCAAGUCGAACGAGACCUUCGGGUCUAGUGGCGCACGGGUGCGUAACGCGUGGGAACCUGCCCUUAGGUUCGGAAUAACUCCCCGAAAGGGGUGCUAAUACCGGAUAAUGUCUUCGGACCAAAGAUUUAUCGCCUUUGGAUGGGCCCGCGUUGGAUUAGCUAGUUGGUAGGGUAAAAGCCUACCAAUGCGACGAUCCAUAGCUGGUCUGAGAGGAUGAUCAGCCACACUGUGACUGAGACACGGCCCAGACUCCGACGGGAGGAAGGAGUGGGGAAUAUUAGACAAUGGGCGAAAGCCUGAUCCAGCAAUGCCGCGUGAGUGAUGAAGGCCUUAGGGUUGUAAAGCUCUUUUACCCGGGGUGAUAAUGACAGUACCGGGAAAAUAAGCUCCGGCUAACUCCGUG
rnacentral:rRNA from 1 species